GGGUUGUGAGGUUAAGCGACUAAGCGUACACGGUGGAUGCCCUGGCAGUCAGAGGCGAUGAAGGACGUGCUAAUCUGCGAUAAGCGUCGGUAAGGUGAUAUGAACCGUUAUAACCGGCGAUUUCCGAAUGGGGAAACCCAGUGUGAUUCGUCACACUAUCAUUAACUGAAUCCAUAGGUUAAUGAGGCGAACCGGGGGAACUGAAACAUCUAAGUACCCCGAGGAAAAGAAAUCAACCGAGAUUCCCCCAGUAGCGGCGAGCGAACGGGGAGCAGCCCAGAGCCUGAAUCAGUGUGUGUGUUAGUGGAAGCGUCUGGAAAGGCGCGCGAUACAGGGUGACAGCCCCGUACACAAAAAUGCACAUACUGUGAGCUCGAUGAGUAGGGCGGGACACGUGGUAUCCUGUCUGAAUAUGGGGGGACCAUCCUCCAAGGCUAAAUACUCCUGACUGACCGAUAGUGAACCAGUACCGUGAGGGAAAGGCGAAAAGAACCCCGGCGAGGGGAGUGAAAAAGAACCUGAAACCGUGUACGUACAAGCAGUGGGAGCACGCUUAGGCGUGUGACUGCGUACCUUUUGUAUAAUGGGUCAGCGACUUAUAUUCUGUAGCAAGGUUAACCGAAUAGGGGAGCCGAAGGGAAACCGAGUCUUAACUGGGCGUUAAGUUGCAGGGUAUAGACCCGAAACCCGGUGAUCUAGCCAUGGGCAGGUUGAAGGUUGGGUAACACUAACUGGAGGACCGAACCGACUAAUGUUGAAAAAUUAGCGGAUGACUUGUGGCUGGGGGUGAAAGGCCAAUCAAACCGGGAGAUAGCUGGUUCUCCCCGAAAGCUAUUUAGGUAGCGCCUCGUGAAUUCAUCUCCGGGGGUAGAGCACUGUUUCGGCAAGGGGGUCAUCCCGACUUACCAACCCGAUGCAAACUGCGAAUACCGGAGAAUGUUAUCACGGGAGACACACGGCGGGUGCUAACGUCCGUCGUGAAGAGGGAAACAACCCAGACCGCCAGCUAAGGUCCCAAAGUCAUGGUUAAGUGGGAAACGAUGUGGGAAGGCCCAGACAGCCAGGAUGUUGGCUUAGAAGCAGCCAUCAUUUAAAGAAAGCGUAAUAGCUCACUGGUCGAGUCGGCCUGCGCGGAAGAUGUAACGGGGCUAAACCAUGCACCGAAGCUGCGGCAGCGACGCUGAUGCGUUGUUGGGUAGGGGAGCGUUCUGUAAGCCUGUGAAGGUGUGCUGUGAGGCAUGCUGGAGGUAUCAGAAGUGCGAAUGCUGACAUAAGUAACGAUAAAGCGGGUGAAAAGCCCGCUCGCCGGAAGACCAAGGGUUCCUGUCCAACGUUAAUCGGGGCAGGGUGAGUCGACCCCUAAGGCGAGGCCGAAAGGCGUAGUCGAUGGGAAACAGGUUAAUAUUCCUGUACUUGGUGUUACUGCGAAGGGGGGACGGAGAAGGCUAUGUUGGCCGGGCGACGGUUGUCCCGGUUUAAGCGUGUAGGCUGGUUUUCCAGGCAAAUCCGGAAAAUCAAGGCUGAGGCGUGAUGACGAGGCACUACGGUGCUGAAGCAACAAAUGCCCUGCUUCCAGGAAAAGCCUCUAAGCAUCAGGUAACAUCAAAUCGUACCCCAAACCGACACAGGUGGUCAGGUAGAGAAUACCAAGGCGCUUGAGAGAACUCGGGUGAAGGAACUAGGCAAAAUGGUGCCGUAACUUCGGGAGAAGGCACGCUGAUAUGUAGGUGAAG
rnacentral:rRNA from 1 species